UACGUAGGUGGCAAGCGUUGUCCGGAUUUAUUGGGCGUAAAGCGCGCGCAGGUGGUGCGGUAAGUCUGCCGUGAAAUCUCCCGGCUCAACUGGGAGGGGGCGGUGGAGACUGCCGGACUGGAGGGACUCAGAGGCCGGUGGAAUUCCCGGUGUAGUGGUGAAAUGCGUAGAGAUCGGGAGGAACACCAGUGGCGAAGGCGGCCGGCUGGGGGUGCCCUGACGCUGAGGCGGCGAAAGCGUGGGAGCGAACCGG
rnacentral:rRNA from 1 species